rnacentral:rRNA from 1 species
AGAGUUUGAUCAUGGCUCAGGAUGAACGCUGGCGGCGUGCCUAACACAUGCAAGUCGAGCGAUUUACUUCGGUAAAGAGCGGCGGACGGGUGAGUAACGCGUGGGUAACCUGCCCUGUACACACGGAUAACAUACCGAAAGGUAUGCUAAUACGAGAUAAUAUGCUUUUAUCGCAUGGUAGAAGUAUCAAAGCUUUUGCGGUACAGGAUGGACCCGCGUCUGAUUAGCUAGUUGGUAAGGUGAUGGCUUACCAAGGCGACGAUCAGUAGCCGACCUGAGAGGGUGAUCGGCCACAUUGGAACUGAGACACGGUCCAAACUCCUACGGGAGGCAGCAGUGGGGAAUAUUGCACAAUGGGCGAAAGCCUGAUGCAGCAACGCCGCGUGAGCGAUGAAGGCCUUCGGGUCGUAAAGCUCUGUCCUCAAGGAAGAUAAUGACGGUACUUGAGGAGGAAGCCCCGGCUAACUACGUGCCAGCAGCCGCGGUAAUACGUAGGGGGCUAGCGUUAUCCGGAAUUACUGGGCGUAAAGGGUGCGUAGGUGGUUUCUUAAGUCAGAGGUGAAAGGCUACGGCUCAACCGUAGUAAGCCUUUGAAACUGGGAAACUUGAGUGCAGGAGAGGAGAGUGGAAUUCCUAGUGUAGCGGUGAAAUGCGUAGAUAUUAGGAGGAACACCAGUUGCGAAGGCGGCUCUCUGGACUGUAACUGACACUGAGGCACGAAAGCGUGGGGAGCAAACAGGAUUAGAUACCCUGGUAGUCCACGCCGUAAACGAUGAGUACUAGCUGUCGGAGGUUACCCCCUUCGGUGGCGCAGCUAACGCAUUAAGUACUCCGCCUGGGAAGUACGCUCGCAAGAGUGAAACUCAAAGGAAUUGACGG